UGCCAAUUUAGGGCAAAAAAGUAUGCAAAGUUUACGCUAGACUUUAAUAAAGCAAGGAUUUUGUAAUUUUACUUAUACAUCGCUUAGAAUAAUUCUUGGCUCGGCUCAGCAACGUAGGAAAUCAGGGAUAUCUACUUGGCAAAAGUUUGGCCAGUGAACUUUGAUCCUGCUGGUCGUAUGGACGCAAGUUGUGAAGAGUUAGAGCAUCAAAAGUAAACCGAAUCCCUGGGGGGUGUUAAGUUAACACUAGCUCAUGAAAUACACUUGGCACAGAGUGGCAUUGCAUUCAAGGAGUUAACAGCUUAAACUUUCGUUUCUAAAGUGCUGGUCGUUCUUUUACAGUUUUGUAUUUUCGCUGGUCAUAGGUCAGAUUAUUUAUUGUUCCAUACGCUAUUUUCUAUAGUCAACAGCUAUAAGAGUCAAGUUGUAAACAUUUUACAGCCAAUUCCAUUUGUGAAUUCUACUGCAAUUUCGAGUGGUUUAUCAACUUCAUCGCAAUCAUAGUAUUGAUUCGAUUUGAACAAUAUGCAGUUCUCAGCAACAAUAUCACAAGGUGGUGGAUUAUUAAAACCAAUCCUGCAUCAUAUCCAUUCGGAUACGUAACAGGGAACAACUUUGAACUCAAAGAUCUUCCUUUUUUUGUCACAACACAUAGCUCGCAGUGCCGCAAAUUAAAGCGAGUUUUAUUUUAUUUCUAUUCGUUUCAUCUAAGAAAAGAAUUUCAAUUAAUCGCAGCAUCUGUCGUAGCUUCCUGUUUCUCGAAUUCUCUACCGUUAACUGCAGAUUAUAGGAAUAAUUGGAGAACAAAAUAAAACAAAGCGAACUCUUUCUUUUCUUCAAUUCGACAUUAAUUAAAUCAAUUUACAGAUGUGUAGUACAAAUCGAUAGUUCAGGCAUUUUGAAAUCACUGCAUCGCGGUUUAUAACAAUGAUAAUAACGAUAGUAACAAUAAUAAUAAGAAUAAUUCCUUUUGUUAUUUUCAAUUCCAAGAGGACGUCUCAGUGUCUUUCAUUCCCCAGGUAAUUGGAAAUCGUCAACGAUUCACGUCAAUUUUUCAGUGGGUAUAAGGAUCUCGGUUGAAUCGCGAGGCACUUAUUUGGGUACGUAUUUAUCAUGUAGACUGUUUUAAUUCAGCCCUCUCCGAUGUUCCAAACGUGGAUACUACAAGUGAAAUUUCAUUACGCAGAAGUUUUCCUUUUUAUAUUUUCAUUUAUUUUUCCAUUAAACACGCUUCAACGGUGGACAGAAAAGGCAGUUUGCAUGUAAGACAGACAGACAAGACGACAGGUUAACGAAUAAUCAGAUUCGCCUAAUUUUGAAAUAAUUCAAAGUAAACAAUAAAAAUAACAAAUCUCAUUAGAAUUUUAUUUUUGUUUUUAACAUCCUGCAGUGGCCAGUAAAAAUGCUGCCCACGCGCCAGUGAAUUACGACGUUUAUUUCCCCCUAACUAAAUGUAAUCUAUCGUUCAUAAACGAGUCUAGAGGGUUACAUUGGAAAUCAAUCAGAGCAAAAGCUACGACAAUGCUACUCAAAUAUGUUAUAUACAUAGAUCUACCUGCAGAUACGUUUAUAUAUAUAUAAGUGAGAGAUUGUUUCGUUCUUGAUUUCCGUUUUCACAUAUCACGAUUCAUCGAUAUCGAUACACAUAAAUAUAUAUACUGGUAGGAUUAUAUGUUGUCCAGCUUCUCAUUUCUAACAACGCUAAAGGCUUCCUCUGGUAGCACUCAACCACCUGCUGAGUACCGGGAGUAGUGCAGCUUAUGGCGUCAUUAGACAGAAAAAGCUGACAACGGCGGGUGGCAAAUAAAGAAAUCAUGUCAGGUGCUGAGAAGAGGAAGGUGGAAAGAAAUAAAUGAAAAAUGAUUCGAACUUACAUGGAGAAACGAAUAACUGGAGAUUGAAUUUGAAAAAUGGAAUUAAAUAAAUGAAACAACAAAUUUUCGGUGAAUUUAUGCGAUGAUUAAGACGCGGUCUUAUACCGAACAGUGCAGAUGAAUGAACGAAACUUGUUAGCGGAACAUAGUGACGAAUUACCCUUCUUCGUCCCUCACAGACUGAGAAUAUAAAAUUGAAAAAAUAUAUCAAAUUCAAAUAAUUGUUACCAGGAAUUGAGAAUCAAUUAUAUCCCCACACACAUGUAUAAACACGAUUGUGGAAAGAACGACGACGCGACGCACAGCAAAUAAUAAUCGUCGUCGACAAUUUUAUUAUGCCUAUUAAACGAAUUAACCUGUAUCGUACGUAAGCGCAAUAAAAACUAUAAAUAUAGUGUAAUUCUAUUACCCGAAGAAAAAAUUACACCACAACAAUAUCGUGAAAAAUUAUCUGUAGAAUAAUUAUCCAAUUGUCGUAUUGCCUAUAGAAUUCAUCUAACUUUGAUUCGUGCGUACAUCGUACGUAUGUACAAUCUAUUGGAGCGAGAAACGUGACUCUUUUUACUUUCGUCCUGUAUUCUAAAAAAAAAAAACCGUUGUAGCAUAGGUUGUAUGUGGUAAAGGUAUACGUGUAACAUACUGCAUGAGAUGAGGAAUAGGUGUGACGCUGCUCAGAGAAAUCAUCAGAAUUCACUUCGAGCUAUACGUAAUCGAAUUACACCCUUGGGGAAGAAAGCGUGUGGUUAAGAUCCUAGUCUGCAGUUGUCCGCGUUGGUUUCCCAUUUCGAAUAACAAUAUGUAUGUGUAUACCUGUAUACAUCAUCCCCUGUCCCAUGAGUGAGCUUACAUAAUCCUUAUAUACAUCCGUUGCAACAGCAUCGCAAUUCUAUUCCCAUAAUCCCAUCUCAAUUCAAUGGAAAAUCACAAUUGUCAGUUCAUCCCGUGAUUUCCUGACCCUCUUCGCACAGGUCGAUAAACUCUGCGCGGAAUAUGGGAAGGAAUGAAAAAAUUGAAUAGAAAAAAUUGACAAUAAAAGAAGUGGAGUAGAAUUAUAAUGCUCUGAAUGAAAAAAUUUUAAUGGAAGAAUCGUAAGCCUCUUAGGUAUCGUGUGUCUGGUGUAAUUUGGACACAUUUCUGAGCAAUAUUUUUUUAUACUUUUUUUUUUUAUUUUUUAAGAUUUCUUUUCGUUUUUUUCGUUUCACCAACUCGGUACAGUACGUUCGCUCGUCCUUAGCUUCUCACCGCGAGCAGGUAAACAUUGCGUUGCAUUUCCCCCGAAGUCUAAUUAGCGGGGUUGAAACUUCAUGAAACCUUUGAACUGCGGG